rnacentral:ncRNA from 1 species
UGACCUCGGAUUCAGACGUGAUUACCGCCUGAAUUUAAGCCAUAUUAUUAAGCGGAGGUAAAAAGAAACUAACAAGAUUCUCCCUGGUGAGUAACGGCGACGUGAAACGGGGAACAGAGCCCAAACACCGAAUCCCUUGGCGCACAAGUCAACGGGAAAAUUGUGGUGUUAAGUAGGUAGCCCUUUCGCUUCAGUCUAGGCGUCUCAAGCUCCACGCUGAUUGUGCGGCUCACAGCCCAGCAGAGGGUUGUAAGGCCCGUAGAGAGACGCUCCGACCUGAUUCCUGGGGUUUACCUACGAGUCGGCUUGUUUGGGAAUUGCAGGCCAAAGCGGUGGUAAAAACUCCACUCCAAGCGCUAAAUACUGGCACGAGUCCGAUAGCGGAUCAGUACGUGUACCGUGAGGGAAAUUGAAAAGAACUUUGAGAAGCAGAGUUCAAUAGUACGUGUGAAAACGUUAGGAGCGCAAACGAUGAUGGUGCUUCAUACUGCUGAGUGAAUUUCAACUGUGACGGGGCUGGACGAGCUGCGCGCUUCCGAUCUCUCUUUUGGGCACGGGGCGUCGCCGGUUUGCUAUCAGCCUCUGACAUGCGUGCACUUUCCCUUGGUGCCUCCGCGCACUGAAACCGACGACACUGGCUACCCGCGGCUGGGGUAAGGUGACAAACUGCUUCGGCAAUUUGGUUAUAGCACCCCGUGCGUCGACAUGGUUUGGCAGGACGUCGAGCUUGCGGCGCCCGCUUCCUUGUGUGGCUCGCAUGUUGGGCAUAGCUCUUAGCUGCGGCGAUGCUUGCACUGGACAACCAGUACAGGUGACGGUUGUGGUCUUGUCUCUACGUGCGCCUCUGCGAGUUUGGCGCCUAUAGUCUGUGGUGUACUUGUGGGUAGACUAUCCGACCCGUCUUGAAAACACGGACCAAGGAGUCUAACAUGUGGCGCGAGUCAUGGGAUUCUACGAAACAAAUUGGCGCAGUGAAAGUAAAUGCCUGCUUCUCGUAGGCUGAGGUGGGAUCUCGUGCAUCGCGAUUGUGCGAGCGCCACCACCGGCCCGUCCUUAUCUGUCUCUGUCAGUGUGGGCGGCGCAAGAGCGUUUACACGUUCGGACCCGAAAUGAUGGUGAACUAUGCUGCGCAGCUCGAAGUCAGUGGAAAACACUGAAAAUGGAGCGACAAGCGCAGCUUUUCUGACGCUUGCAGAAUCCGAUCGUCAAACGUGACUAUAGGGGCGAAAGACUAAUCGAACCAUCUAGUAGCUGGUUCCCUCCGAAGUUUCCCUCAGCGAUAGGCUGCGCACUCGCGGAAACAGUUUUAUCCGCGCCUUUAAAGCCGAAUGGAUAUGAUUAGCAGGCAUUGGGGUCGAAACGACCUCGACCUAUUCUCAAACUUUAAAAUGGGUAAGAUGCCUUCGUCUCGCUUAAUUCGGCAAAAAGGCGGCGCUUCACCUCUCUAAACCGUGAAUCGUGAGUGCCCAGUGAGGCCAUUUUUGCGUAAGCAGAACUGGCGCUGUGGGACUGAACCAAACGCGCGCGCGUUAAGGCGCCCAAUUGCGGACGCUCAUGAGACACACAAAAGGUGUUGCGUCGCAUACUGAACAGCAGGACGCCGUGGCCAUGGAAAGUCGGAACCAGCGCUAAGGAGUGUGUAAACAACUCACCUGCCGAAUCAACCAGCCCUGAAAAUGGAUGGGCUCGGAAGCGUCGGGGCCUAUACCUGCCGUUGCGGGCGAAGCAGACAAAUUAAUCUGUGUGCGAUGUCCCAACUUAGUAGGAGGGUCGCCGUGUGUGAGCGCAGAAGGUGCGCCGUGAGGCCGGCUGGAGUCCUCGCCACGGGGCAGAUCUUGGGUGGUAGCUAGCAAUUACUCAAAGUGAGAACCUUUAGAGACUGAAGUGGAAGAGGCGUUCCAUGUGAACAGCAGUUGAACAUGGGUCAGGCGGUCCUAAGCAUCGGGUAACUCCGUACCUUAGACGAGCGGUGACAACUCAUCACUUAACUAAAUGUGGACGGUGUUAUUAGCCCUCCGGCAUGCGAAAGCGGAAAUUCGUGUAAUAUUCACGACCCUUACCGUGGAGAUCGCCCCUUUCGGGGGCGCAAGUGCGCGUAACGCAACACGAAACACAGAGACGUCGGCUGGAAGCCCCGGGAAGCAGUUCUCUUUUCUUUGUAUAGGAGCGUACCCCCUUGGAAUCUCGGCUUGUCCGGAGAUAGGGCGUGGCUUCCGUAAGCAGCAGCGGCGUCUUGCGCUGUCCGGUGCACUCUAGUCGGGCCCUUGAAAAUCUGUGCGGAGACAGCUGUGAUUUUUCACGGUAGGCCCCGUACCCAUAUCCGCAGCAGGUCUCCAAUCGGUGAACAGGCCCUUAGUCUAGAACAAUGUAAGGUAAGGGAAGUCGGCAAAAUGGAUACCGUAACUUCGGGAAAAAGCGAUUGCCGCUCUGAGGGCUGGGUCGGGAUGGGCUAGUGCGUAAGAAGCUGUUCCGGUUUUGGGUGAGGACUGGGCCGAGGCUUUCGGGCAUUUACUCAGGACCAUGCCGAGGACCAUGGCAGUAGACGACGUCAGCUGUGAAUUGUUUCGUGUUUCGGCCGGCAGCUUUCGUCCAGCGCAAACAAACAGCCAACUCAGAACUGCGGCACGGACUAGCGGAAUCGAACUGUCUAAUUAAAACAAAGCAUUGCGAUGGCUGUUGUCGCGUGUUGACGCAAUGUGAUUCUGCCAGUGCUGCUGAAUGUCAAGCUGAAGAAAUUCAAAUCAAG